rnacentral:rRNA from 1 species
ACAGCUCAAAUUUGAAAUCUGGCUCCCAGAGCCCGAGUUGUAAUUUGUAGAGGAUGCUUUUGAUGCGGUGCCUUCCGAGUUCCCUGGAACGGGACGCCAUAGAGGGUGAGAGCCCCGUCUGGUCGGAUGCCAAAUCUCUGUAAAGCUCCUUCGACGAGUCGAGUAGUUUGGGAAUGCUGCUCAAAAUGGGAGGUAUAUGUCUUCUAAAGCUAAAUAUUGGCCAGAGACCGAUA